CUUCCUGACACCGAACCACCCUAAGCUGACAAAUGUCUAUAGCUCGGGGAGCACGAGAGGGAGCUCACGAGAUGGCAGACAGACCAGGAUGUGCACAGAACGUAACCCUGGGUUGUGGACUCAGCUUUCCUUCCUGAAGCGCCUGAAGCAAAUAGAGAAUAGUCGUAGUUGAGCCUGAGUUUCCAGAGGGGCAGAAAACCAACUUGCGUGUUUUCUUUUUAUUGUUGCUUUUUUGAAAAAAUGGUCCUAAUUUCAGCUUGUUUUUCCAACCAUGUGAAAGGAUGGACUGGACGCUGCGCAGAAGUGGAGAUCUUAGGCCGUCUCCAAACUAUAGUCCUAUUGGACUGGUGCACCAAAUAUGGAUUUGGGGUGUGCGUAAUUCAGUCCAUAGCACCCACCAAACCACAGAAGCUGCCCCGAGCUGAUGUCCCGCUAUCGGUGCGGCUGCAGGACACUGUCCCAUUGCUGCAUGGAGCCUCUCGCUGUCUGAGCCUCACCUGAAGCCGGCCCACACCAUUUUCUUACUCUAUGCAUUGGAGCGAAAAUGUUUAAUUGACUACGAUGGGUGAUUCCUAAAGUUAUAUUUGACUCAGAAAAAAAUGCAUUAGUAAAACUCCCUGUUUGAAUGUUUCUAGUAUUCACAGCCCGGGUCACUGUCUUUCUAUAACGAUUGGUAUCUGAAAUAAGAACAUGGGCUGCAACUUACAGCCUUGCUCUUUCUACUAUAUAAACUUCCCUAAUCAAAUAUUUUUCAUUAAAAAAAUGUGUUUUUGGAAAUAAACAGUUACAACCUGG
rnacentral:lncRNA from 10 species